rnacentral:lncRNA from 1 species
GAAUAUGACAAACAUGAUGUGGUUUUGUUGGAUCUUCAAAGCCAGGUGGCUGUUGCAUAAACACUGAUUCAGUAAGUGUGCCAUGGAGAAAGGCAUUACUGAUAUCUAAUUGAUUGAGGAACCAAUCAAAUUGAGCAGCAAGAGUGAGAAUGAGACGAAUAGUCACUAGUUUGGCCACUUAACUAAAGGUUUCAGUGUAGUCAAGACCCUCUUGUUGGUGAAACCCUUUAGCAACCAAGCGGGCUUUGUACCUGUCAAUAGAGCCAUCUGGUUUCCUUUUGAUCCGAAACACCCACUUACAUCCCACAAGAUUAUGAGAAGAAGAAGGUGGUACAAGGGACCAUGUACCAGUUGUUACAAGGGCAUUGAACUCCUCUUGCAUUGCUAUAUGCCAAUGAGAGUGUUUAGAAGCUUGUAGGUAGGUUGUAGGAACAUAGUCAACUACAAGAUGGAAAGGAAUAGGGUGCUUGGUUGUAGCUAAUGCUUUGGAUUUGAAUAUGCCAGAUUUGGAUCUGGUUUGCAUUAGGUGGUUGCUAAUAGGUAAUAUAGGCUGGGAUGAGUGGGGAUUUGGGGAAGCUGCAGAGGUUUGGAUCUGGUAUGGAGAAGCUGCAAAGUUUGGGAUCUGGUUUGGAGAAACGGCAGAGGUUGUAUUUUAGGAGGUUGUAUUUGGUGUAGAGGUAUGAUGAGGAAGAUAAGAGGUAAAUGUGAGUGAUGAGGGAAUAGAGGAUUGGUAUAAGGGAGAUGAGGAGACAGGUUGGGAUGGAGAAGGUUGGAAGGUAUGAAAUGGAAAAGUUGACUCAUCAAAUAGGACAUGCCUUGAAAUACAACAUGUGAGUAGAUGGGUGUAAACACAGGUAGCCCUUGUGAUUUAAGCUAUAUCCCAAGACCACACAGGGCUUGCUUUUAGGAUCUAGUUUUGAGGAUGUGUAUGGUUUCAACCAAGGGAAACAACUACAACCAAAAACCUUGAGAGAUUUAUAGUCAUGUGCUUUCUGGAAAAUAGACUGCCAAGGAGAGUAUCUGGAUAUAGUAGGUAACCUGUUGAUGAGAUAGCCAGAGGUAGCAAAAGCCUCAACCCAAUAAGCAUGAGGCACUUUAGAUGCUGCCAAUAGGGUUCGAGAAGUCUCGACAAUAUGUCGAUGCUUAUGUUCUGCACACUCAUUUUGCUUGAGGGUGUAAGGACAAGUGAGCUAAUGAUGAAUGCCAUGGCUAGCUAAGAACUGAGAGAAUGCAAUGCUAACAAAUUCACCACCAGAAUCUGAGCGUAAUGUAAUAACUUUUGUACACAGAGAAUUCUCAACAAGUAAUUUCCAUUGCAUAAAAGUGGAGAGGACAUCAGAUUUACACUUUAAAGGAUAGAACCAACAAUAUCUGGUAUAGUCAUCUAUGAAAAUGACAUAAUACCGAAAACCAUGAUGAGACAUUAUGGGUGAGGGUCCCCAAACAUCCGUAUGGAUAAGUUUUAAAGGCUUGCGGGUUGUACAAGUAGUACUAGAAAAAGGAAGUUUAGAACAUUUCCCUAGGGCACAAGCUGAGCAAAAAGUUUUAUUUGAAGCACCAAGAAGAGAAAUACAUAAUUGAGAGGCCAACUUAUUCAUGAUCUUUACAGAAGGGUGGCCCAAUCUUUGAUGCCAAAGAUGCUUUAUAUGGGGGUGGCCUCACGGGUAGUGUAGAAGCCAUCUGGAGUAGAAGACUCGACGGCUUUCUGGGCGGAAAUGGGGAAGUGGGUGGAGGCCCGCAAGGCGGACAAGUCGGAGGUGUAGGACUAUGUUGGGUUGGUGGGCCGGAUCUGUGCAUUGAGCUUGGCGGGGUUGAAGACCGAGGGGUCAACGUGGCCGGUGCUUUACUCAGAAUCCAUGAAGGUGUUGGGUCUGAUCAAAGAACAGCUCAAAAAGCCGGUUUAGGGAGUACCCAGAUGCCGAAAUGUUUGAAAGAUUGCAAGUUUGCAACGUUUUUCAUGAAGGGGGCCCAUUUUGUUGGAUGAGCCCACCUCAGGGUUGGACUCCACUACAGCUCAGCGAAUCCUGACCACACUAAAAAGGCUUGCUAGUGGGGUCUGUGUCUUCUCCAUUUCAUGUGCUCUACUCCUACAGUUGAGCUCUCUGUGAAAGGCAUGGUUGCCUAGAAAGAUAAAAGAGAGAGAGAGAUAGAAAAUGGGUUUUUGGAUGGUUUCUUAAAACUGCACAGAGUCUGCGAAGGUUUUCUGGAAAAGCACAAAGAGUGAGGUUUUCUGGGUUUUUGGGUUUCUGCAGAUUCACGGCGGAGGUGAAAAAGUGAAAGAGAACCGACAUAACUUUUCGUGUCGAUUCCCACAUACGGUGCCUCGCGUCGAUUCCCACAGACGGUGCCAAAUGUUGAUGCACAAAACCGGAGGGGUCUUGGGACAACGUAAAUCCGACCGUGAAUCUGCAAGAAAGUAAAUAACACAAGAUGUAUCGUGGUUCACCCUCAAUGUUUGGGCUACAUCCACACUGAUAUUUUAUUUCUCUGUGAUGUUGAAGAGGAUGGUGAGGCAGAGAGAGUUUGUGAGGUGAGAGUCAGGCCUCUGGGGUGAGGAGGCCCCCCCAAUUGUAAGGGUAAGGAGUCCCUUUUAUAGAAUAAGGGCUCUUCACUUAUUACAUCUUUGCCUCUUCCUUUAUUACAUAAUUACAUUUGAGUCCCCCGAGUAUUUAUACGAGGUCUAAAUACGGAGGCCCUAAAUAUGGUACAAACAAGAUUCAAACAUAAAAAUACUACUAGUUAGUAGUAAUUUGCAAUUCUAAAGUAAUUUUAAAGUACAAAAUUUGAGUCCAAUUAAUAACCCAAGAACCAAGAGGUUUUCUACGUUAAGGAUGUCAUCAAUUUUUUUCAAAAAUAUAGAAAAGGACUUUCCACAUCUUUCUUUAACAUCUUUCUUUAAGGCUACCCAUAAUGUAUUUUAAUAAUCAAAACAGUCUACAUUUUAUAUUUUAUUUCGAUAAUCAUCACAUAAAAAUUUUCAAGAAAAUUAAUUAGUCAUCUUAAAUUUUCAAGAAAUUAUAAUUUAUUGGAUAAAAUAAAAUGAAACUGUAGAUAAUCAAAUCGUAAAGAGGAAUGCUAGCAAUCUUCUCAUGUUGACAUUUUCGUUUAACUUUUUCAUCUCCCCAUCUCAUCUUGCAAUGUUGCUUAAUGAUUGGAACAGUCUACUUUUUACAUCACUAUUUAAAAAUCAUCAAUGCAAAAUAUUAACUAAACACGAAAUCAUUUAGUCAUCCAAUGGUUAUCCAAUAAAUAAACAAACCAUGUUUGUCAUUAUACACUUAAUUUUUUACCAUAUUUAUCAAACAAUUAAAUGAUAUAUUUGAUUAUUGGUUGAUUUUUUUACAGAGAUGAUUUUUAAAGUGUGAUCAAGAAAGUAGACGGUUUUGGUAAUCAAGCAACAUUGCAAGAUGAGGAGAGCCGAGAAGGUAGAACAAGAAUGUCCAAAUAACAACGUUGGUAGCAUCCUAAUGAUAAACCAAUUUCAUUUUUAACCCAUUUUUUGCAAGUAUAUUAAGAGAAAUUAAAAUUUGAACAAUUAUGAUCAUUGGAUUAAAACCAAAAAAUAGGUCUUUAUUUUUCUUAAAUAAAUAUCUCAACCAUAAUCUUUUGAUACAAGCGAGACAUUGGCAGAUGAAAAUUGAAGGGAGGACAUCAGGUGCAAAGAAAAACACUCAUACCAACUAGAGCUACAAGUUACUUGAUCAACUCAAGUACUAUUAUUAAAAUCCACAGAAUUUUCAAACUGAAUCCGCCAACUUGGGUUCUUCGGUUGUUGUGGGGGGAACAUAUUCACCAAAACCACAAGCCUCUUCCUCAACAAAACCAUCAUCUCUAACCCUAAAAACUGCAUGAACCAAAAUAAUUGGCACCGUACAAGCUAAAGUCACAAACAGAUAUUCGGCUGCAUCCGUAAGUAUGAGCUCAAUCAUCGUCCCAAUGGCCAACAAAACCAGCAUCAAACGCCUUUCGACGGUCUUGUGCAGCAGCAGAGAAUCAGGUACUACCCUCAACAGCGCAAGGUACGAGCAUCCCGCUGCCGUCAUUAUCACCAAGAAAAUUAGAGACAUCCGGCGCUGAGGCACUAGGGUUAUGGAGAGUACGAUCCAUAUGAAGAGUGUGUAGUACGAUCCGAAGUAUCCAAAGUUUCGGGUGAAGCGAACCGCGGCAGCUUCUGGGGUUGCCGGGAUGUUGAAGAAGCAGAAGAGCUUGAAGUCCUUGCUCAUUUUUCCGGUUGAAUCUUUCGGUUUAUGGGGAUCAUCAGUAGGUGUUGGUGUGGAGAUGGUGGACGGCCUUUUCAUGGUGCCGUAGUCAGCCAUUUUCUGACCAAACAAAUAUGGUGUUUAAUUUGAUUUGAAGGGAUUAGAAAGGUACUCGCUGAUGUUUUGGAUCGAAUAAGUUAUAAGUUUUGAAAGGGUAAUGCAUUUGUAUAUAUACACACACGCAUGAUAGAGAGUGACAGUAGCAACUUCAAGGAAAUAAGUCAAGACGGACGUUUUAAACAAAGUGACGAUUACUACAACAUUUUUGUCCACAUUUGAGUGGAAAUUUCAGGGUGAAUUACAAGAAGAGCGUCCUGGCUAAAAACAAAUCUGUUGCUGUGCGGUAAGUUAAUUUCAAAUUCUCGAAUUCUCAGAUUUGUUUGGUUAAUUCUUUUGAUACAUAAGAGAUACUCUUAUUACCAGUUCAUCAAGUUUUUAAUAUACGAAUGACAUACUUUUCGUAUCCUUGACAAACAUAUGUUCAACGAUUAAAUAGGGCUGUAAGUAGAUAGGAUAAAAUUAUUUCUAAUUUUGUUCCGUAUUGUAAAUAGGGUUGUAAGUAAUUUCCACAUUUAUGUAAAUAAUAUUGCCUAUUCAAUACAUUUACAACUUUCAGAAUGUUUUAUAUGGUUCUAAAACCCGCAGCAUAGCAUGGGCACUCCUUUCUAGUUUGAGCUAAAAGAAACAAAAUGAUAAAUUUGGCAUGGCUUGUUCAACGUAUCCUCUCUUGUUUGUAGGGGUGGGCACUAUUAGGAAAAAAUAUUUCUCAUUAAUUCAAUGCAUAACUUUACACUUUGAGUAUUUAUACAAGGCUAUCACAACCAUCACAGUUGUCAUCACAACUAACAAAAGGAAUAACUAAACUAACUAACUAAACAUUCCUUAGCCUCUAAGUAUUAUCCCUUGAAGGUGUAAUUACAUUUUUAUCCUUAAUAUCUCCUCGCAAACGAGACUGUGGUAUUCGCAGUUGUAGUUUGUCACGAAGAAGGAUGAACCGAGGCUGUGACAGAGAUUUGGUGCAAAUAUCUGCUACCUGAUCCUGUGUACAGAUAAACUGCACAGAAACUUGAUUGGCUAGAACCUUUUCACGAAUAUAAUGGUAAUCAAUCUCGACAUGCUUUGUUCUAGCAUGAAAAAUGGGAUUUUUUGCUAAGGAAAUGGCAGAGAGAUUGUCAUACCAGAUCUUGGGAAAAUGAGGUUGAGAAUAAGAAAUGUCAGCCAGCAGUUUACAUAUCCAUGUGAUUUCUGCAGCUGUAUUGGCAAGAGAUCGAUAUUCAGCUUCAGUUGAGGAACGAGCAACAGUAGGUUGCUUCUUGGCACUCCAACUAAUGAGAGAGUUGCCAAAAUAUACACAAUAUCCACCUGUGGAUCUUCUGUCCAAAGAACACCCUGCCCAAUCGGCAUCUGAAAAAGCUUGAAGAGAUGGAGCCUGAGAGGACUUGGAGAACCAUAAUCCAAGAUCAAGAAAACCUUUAAGAUAUCUGAGAAUGCGUUUUACUGCUUGCAGAUGUGAAAGUCUUGGACUAUGCAUAAACUGACAUACCAAAUUAACAGCAAAACUAAGAUCAGGUCUAGUCCAGGUUAAGUACUGAAGAGCUCCAACUAGAGAUCGAUAUUCAGAAGCAUUUUCAAGCAGGGGAUACGAGUGAUCCAGCUUGGUGGUACUGAGAGAGGCGCUGCAGGGCUUGGCACCUUCCAUUUUUGCUUUUUCCAAUAGAUCCAAAAUAUACUUGGUUUGAGAGAUUAAAAUACCAGAAGAUGAUCUUUUAACUUCAAUACCAAGGAAGUAGUGAAGGGCACCAAGAUCCUUGAUGGGAAAAAGGGCACUGAGUUGAGUGAUGACUUGUUGACAAGCUGCAGAUGAGGGGUCGGUGACUAAGAUGUCAUCUACAUAGAGUAGGAUGAAUACCGGAGUAGGAAAACUCUUGAUAAACAGAGAAUGAUCACUUUGAGAGCCUUGAAACCCAAGAGAAUGCAGAUCACUAUGAAGCUUGUCAUACCAAGCUCGAGGAGCCUGUUUCAAACCAUAAAGGAAUCUGUGAAGAUGACAAACAUGAUGUGGUUUUGUUGGAUUUUCAAAGCCAGGUGGUUGUUGCAUAAACACUGAUUCAGUAAGUGUGCCAUGGAGAAAGACAUUACUGACAUCUAAUUGAUUGAGGAACCAAUCAAAUUGAGCAGCAAGAGUGAGAAUGAGACGAAUAGUCACGGGUUUGGCCACUUGACUAAAGGUUUCAGUGUAGUCAAGUCCUUCUUGUUGGUGAAACCCUUUAGCAACC